rnacentral:rRNA from 1 species
AAUAGAUACCCCGGUAGUCCACGCCGUAAACGAUGAGUGCUAAGUGUUAGGGGGUCUCCGCCCCUUAGUGCUGCAGCUAACGCAUUAAGCACUCCGCCUGGGGAGUACGGCCGCAAGGCUGAAACUCAAAGGAAUUGACGGGGGCCCGCACAAGCGGUGGAGCAUGUGGUUUAAUUCGAAGCAACGCGAAGAACCUUACCAGGUCUUGACAUCCUCUGACAACUCUAGAGAUAGAGCGUUCCCCUUCGGGGGACAGAGUGACAGGUGGUGCAUGGUUGUCGUCAGCUCGUGUCGUGAGAUGUUGGGUUAAGUCCCGCAACGAACGCAACCCUUGAUCUUAGUUGCCAGCAUUCAGUUGGGCACUCUAAGGUGACUGCCGGUGACAAACCGGAGGAAGGUGGGGAUGACGUCAAAUCAUCAUGCCCCUUAUGACCUGGGCUACACACGUGCUACAAUGGACGGUACAAAGAGUCGCAAGACCGCGAGGUGGAGCUAAUCUCAUAAAACCGUUCUCAGUUCGGA